rnacentral:lncRNA from 1 species
GAAUUCGGGCGAAGCCUCCCUGUAGUCGAAGUUGGAGAUGAAGUCCGGCUCCCGUAGGGGUCCGGACGAAGUCUUCCUGCUGCUGAAUUUGGAGAUGGAGUCUGGCUCCCGUAGGAGUCCAGGCGAAGCCUCCCUGUAGUCGAAGUAGGAGAUGAAGUCCGGCUCCCGUAGGAGUCCGGAUGAAGCCUUCCUGUAGUCGAAGUUGGAGAUGAAGUCCGGCUCCCGUAGGAGUCCGGAUGAAGUCUU